CAUGGACUUCCUCCGUUCCAUAAUUCUUGUCUCAAAUUUGCCUAAAAAUGGAUGUAUCUAUUACUAAAAAGUGUCUAGAUACAUGUAAUAUUUCGACAAGAAUUAUGGAACGGAGGGAGUACAAU
rfam:Brachypodium distachyon strain Bd21 chromosome 1, whole genome shotgun sequence.